rnacentral:tRNA from 1 species
GCUGAGGUCGUAUAAUCUGGUAUUACGCUGGCCUCGAAAGCCAGUUCCGCAAGGUAUGUAGGUUCGAAUCCUGCCCUCAGCG